UACAGAGGGUGCAAGCGUUGUUCGGAAUUAUUGGGCGUAAAGCGCGUGUAGGCGGCUUUGCAAGUCGGGUGUGAAAGCCCUCAGCUUAACUGAGGAAGUGCGCCCGAAACUGCAUUGCUUGAGUACCGGAGAGGGUGGCGGAAUUCCCCAAGUAGAGGUGAAAUUCGUAGAUAUGGGGGAGGAACACCGGUGGCGAAGGCGGCCACCUGGACGGCUACUGACGCUGAGACGCGAAAGCGUGGGGAGCAAACAGG
rnacentral:rRNA from 1 species